GUGAGGAAUUUUGCGCAAUGGCCGCAAGGCUGACGCAGCAACGCCGCGUGGGUGAUGAAGGCCUUCGGGUCGUAAAGCCCUGUCAGGUGGGAAGAACAGCAUUUUCUCGAAUAGGGGAGAUGUUUGACGGUACCACCAGAGGAAGCACCGGCUAACUCCGUGCCAGCAGCCGCGGUAAUACGGAGGGUGCGAGCGUUAUUCGGAAUUACUGGGCGUAAAGCGCGUGCAGGCGGGAAGGUAAGUCUGAUGUGAAAGCCCCGGGCUCAACCCGGGAAGUGCAUUGGAGACUGCUUUUCUUGAGUACUGGAGAGGAAGGGGGAAUUCCCGGUGUAGAGGUGAAAUUCGUAGAGAUCGGGAGGAAUACCAGUGGCGAAGGCGCCCUUCUGGACGGUUACUGACGCUGAGACGCGAAAGCGUGGGGAGCAAACAGGAUUAGAAACCCCAGUAGUCC
rnacentral:rRNA from 1 species